rnacentral:rRNA from 2 species
GCUAGGGGGUCAUCCCGACUUACCAACCCGAUGCAAACUACGAAUACCGAAGAAUGUUAUCACGGGAGACACACGGCGGGUGCUAACGUCCGUCGUGAAGAGGGAAACAACCCAGACCGCCAGCUAAGGUCCCAAAGUCAUGGUUAAGUGGGAAACGAUGUGGGAAGGCACAGACAGCCAGGAUGUUGGCUUAGAAGCAGCCAUCAUUUAAAGAAAGCGUAAUAGCUCACUGGUCGAGUCGGCCUGCGCGGAAGAUGUAACGGGGCUAAACCAUGCACCGAAGCUGCGGCAGCGACACUAUGUGUUGUUGGGUAGGGGAGCGUUCUGUAAGCCUGCGAAGGUGUGCUGUGAGGCAUGCUGGAGGUAUCAGAAGUGCGAAUGCUGACAUAAGUAACGAUAAAGCGGGUGAAAAGCCCGCUCGCCGGAAGACCAAGGGUUCCUGUCCAACGUUAAUCGGGGCAGGGUGAGUCGACCCCUAAGGCGAGGCCGAAAGGCGUAGUCGAUGGGAAACAGGUUAAUAUUCCUGUACUUGGUGUUACUGCGAAGGGGGGACGGAGAAGGCUAUGUUAGCCGGGCGACGGUUGUC